rnacentral:rRNA from 1 species
CCUACGGGAGGCUGCAGUGGGGAAUCUUGCACAAUGGGGGAAACCCUGAUGCAGCAACGCCGCGUGAGUGAAGAAGUAUUUCGGUAUGUAAAGCUCUAUCAGCAGGGAAGAAGAAAGACGGUACCUGACUUAGACGCCCCGGCAAACUACGUGCAAGCAGCCGCGGUAAACCGAAGGGGGCAAGCGUUAUCCGGAUUUACUGGGUGUAAAGGGAGCGUAGACGGCUGUGCAAGUCUGAAGUGAAAGCCCGUGGCUCAACCGCGGAACUGCUUUGGAAACUGGAUAGCUUGAGUACUGGAGAGGCAGGCGGAAUUCCUAGUGUAGCGGUGAAAUGCGUAGAUAUUAGGAGGAACACCAGUGGCGAAGGCGGCCGGCUGGACAGAAACUGACGUUGAGGCUCGAAAGCGUGGGGAGCGAACAGGAUUAGAUACCCCAGUAGUC